rnacentral:lncRNA from 1 species
UGCACAGAUAAAGCAGCUUCGCGAGUUAUUUCUAUUGCAUUGACCAGAUUCUUUAUUUGGCUUUUUAAGGACACUUGCCCGGCAAGAAAAGAUUGUGA